AACAUUGACUGGUUUAUCUUCCCAACAUGGAUACCAGGACAUUGGAUGGUUUGUAAACAUUGCACAAAUCCUGUCUCCUGGGCCUUCGCGUGAAUACUGUGUCAACGAUAUUACAGGCCUUCCACGACAACAUCUCAGCAACAGCUGUGGUGUCUUUGUCCUGAUGGUAAGUUUAUA